ACGUAGGGAGCGAGCGUUGUCCGGAAUUACUGGGCGUAAAGGGUGCGUAGGCGGUUUGGCAAGUCAGAUGUGAAAUCCCCGGGCUUAACUCGGGUGGUGCAUUUGAAACUGCUGAACUUGAGUGCAGGAGAGGAAAGCGGAAUUCCUAGUGUAUCGGUGAAAUGCGUAGAUAUUAGGAGGAACACCUGUGGCGAAGGCGUCUUUCUGGACUGUAACUGACGCUGAGGCACGAAAGCGUGGGGAGCAAACAG
rnacentral:rRNA from 1 species